CUUGCUUCUCUUGAGAGCGGCGGACGGGUGAGUAAUGCCUAGGAAUCUGCCUAGUGGUGGGGGAUAACGUUCGGAAACGGACGCUAAUACCGCAUACGUCCUACGGGAGAAAGCGGGGGAUCUUCGGACCUCGCGCCAUUAGAUGAGCCUAGGUCGGAUUAGCUAGUUGGUGAGGUAAUGGCUCACCAAGGCGACGAUCCGUAACUGGUCUGAGAGGAUGAUCAGUCACACUGGAACUGAGACACGGUCCAGACUCCUACGGGAGGCAGCAGUGGGGAAUAUUGGACAAUGGGCGAAAGCCUGAUCCAGCCAUGCCGCGUGUGUGAAGAAGGUCUUCGGAUUGUAAAGCACUUUAAGUUGGGAGGAAGGGUAGUAACCUAAUACGUUGCUACUUUGACGUUACCGACAGAAUAAGCACCGGCUAACUUCGUGCCAGCAGCCGCGGUAAUACGAAGGGUGCAAGCGUUAAUCGGAAUUACUGGGCGUAAAGCGCGCGUAGGUGGUUCAGUAAGUUGGAAGUGAAAUCCCCGGGCUCAACCUGGGAACUGCUUUCAAAACUGCUGAGCUAGAGUACGGUAGAGGGUGGUGGAAUUUCCUGUGUAGCGGUGAAAUGCGUAGAUAUAGGAAGGAACACCAGUGGCGAAGGCGACCACCUGGACUGAUACUGACACUGAGGUGCGAAAGCGUGGGGAGCAAACAGGAUUAGAUACCCUGGUAGUCCACGCCGUAAACGAUGUCAACUAGCCGUUGGAAUCCUUGAGAUUUUAGUGGCGCAGCUAACGCAUUAAGUUGACCGCCUG
rnacentral:rRNA from 1 species